AGAGAUGCCGCCGACUCUCGC
rnacentral:siRNA from 1 species